rnacentral:lncRNA from 1 species
AUGAAAAUAUAAAAUAAAAAAAUAAUUUCCCUCUUCUAAGUAGUAUGACAUAAUUAUGAUAGGUAAAAUCUAUCACAACUUGUGACGCGAUUUUAUCUGUCAUCUUUUCUUGACGCUGGCUAUAGUGACAGUAAGGAUAACCGUCAUCUACCCCCUAAGAUGACAGUUUUUACCUAUCAUAAUUGUUGUGCAAAUUUUAAUGUACUCGCAAGCGCACGAAUCUAUUGUAGUAUAGAUCAAUGGUGAUGAGUGUCGAUCCCACGAGGAGGUGGAUUUUAAUUAUAUGUAGAAUUAAUUUUGUAAUUGGGUGGUUGAAAUUGUGGUGGAAGUGAUUUAAAUUAUCCUAAAAUUGGAAUUGAGAUUCUAAAAUUGGAAUUGCAAUGGCGAGAAUAAAUUGAAGCGAAAUCUAUUGAAAUGACGUACUUGGGUAUCUGGAUCCGUAUCAACAUGCAUCAUGGGCUAAAUGAUACGAAUCCCACAAUGAAACUUUCAAUCCUACACUUAAUUUGUAGUUUCAACUUCCCAAGAAAGUUCUAAACAGAUUUAUGGCAAACAAAAACCUUGACCCAAUGCUUAAGAAAACAUGAACCAAAGGUAUAGAGAAGGGUAUUGACGCCACACUCAAGAAAAAGAUGAGAAGGUGAGUGAUAAGUCUAAAUUUGGAACACCACAAGAAUGUAAAUUCUUGAUAAGUUCACUAGUUCUCAAAAGAACCAAAGAAAGAAUAAUCUUUCAAAUUCAAAAUAACAUUCAUCUCCUUACAUACCAAGGUUGCUGAAUUUAAAUAUGCUAAAAGGAACCCAAGAUCCUAAAAAUACAAAUGGAAACAUUGGAACAACCCUCCAAGUAAGUUUGUCAAAAGAUGUUUCAAAAGUCUUCACCAACCCACCAUGAUCAAUGCUAUCUUUGACAAACUUAAUGCUAGCCUACUAUAAUUAAUGCUAUCAUUGACAAACUUAAUGUUAGCCCACCAUCAUUGAUGGUAGACUUACCUUACACAUUGACAAGCUUGAAACAAAACAAACAAAUAAGUUGAAAAACAAAGGAUUUGUUGAAAAUCCCAAGUCUGAACAAGCUGUAAAGAAUUGGUCAUAACUCCUUCUAGAGAACUCCAAAUCCAGCUCUGUAAAAUUUAUUAGAAAGCUAACUUAAUUAUCUUUCCAACGGUAUAUAGCUUGCAUUUUAAUUCUGGCUCAAUCAAUACAGUUUUUAUUCCGAAUUUGACCUUUCUGCAUUUGAUACAACUUGUGUAUUUGGCUGCCCAAUGACUUGAAUAAUGCCCACAAUGCCUUGUCUUCUCUUCAAGCCCAAUUCACGAUGUCUUGCAUCUUGAAUUGCAUUUUCAAUCCAUAUUUUCUCAAUUAAUCCAUUUAAAGCAGCUUGCAUCUUUUUGGCUCUUGCUCUUGUAAUUGGGCCUCCAUGAAUGUGCAAAGGAUCACUUGAAGUUUUAAUGGUCCCGUGAUGGUUCUCAUCACUAAAUAAUCCGUAUUAAUGCCAAUUAAAUCAUGACGGGGGAAUCCACACCUCAUGAACCACGCUCUAAUCAAUAUGGUGCUAAGGGCUUAUCGUGCCAAAUAAUAAUAACCUUGUACUAGAGGGCCGGUGAAACCAAGGCGGUACUAGACAAGAUUAGUAU